CUUUCCGGGACCAAUGGCGCCGACAGCCGACGUCGGCCCCCACCCUGUGCCAGGGGAAGCCUCCCGCUCUCCCUCAGGGUCCUCACCUCGAGCCCUUGCAGAACCUAGGCUUCCUCGGUCUCUCUCCAGACCUAGGUCUGCUCGGCUCGGAGCCAGCCUCACGUGCCUCACAGUCCCAACUCGAAAGGGCGGCCACGCCACACACAUGGGAACCCUGCUCGGGGUCUCCCGGGUUGGCCGCAGGGGCGGGGCGGGGCCAGGACCGCACGUGGGGUGGGAAAAAACCCCUCAGUCCUAGCUCAGUCCUAGCUCAGGCCAGUCCUGACUCCUGGCCCUGCCCGAGCCACUUCCCUCUCUGGAGCUGAGCUCCCUGGCCCCGAAGGAAGCCCUUCCCCUUCCUGAGAACAUCAAGGUGAUAUUUGUUUUUAUUCUCCCUUCUACAGUUUUCUGGGCGAAGACAGGAGCUGAAACUCUGUUGUCAUCUUGACAUCUACAGGUAAGGCCUUAAGUCUGUAAAUAAGAACUGACACCUUUAUAAUGAUGUGCAUCCCAUCAAUGAAUAUGAUACACUGCUCUGUUUGUUUGGGACUUAUUUUACCUGAAUCUGUCAGUAAACGUUUAUAGUUGCCUCCAUAAAGAUCUCAUACAUUUUUGUCAUGAUCCGUUUAAGGUAAUUUUUGGAUUUUGUUGCUGUUACAAAUGAGAUCUUUUCCUUCGCAUGUUCUAAUUGGCUCUUGUGUGGCAAGGCUCUUGCUUUUUCUACAGUGAGCUUAAACUAUUUCUCUGAGAUUUCUAUUCAUUUGAAUAUUCCACAUACUUACUUAUUCCUUAGAAUUUCCUACAUAGGUGAUCAUAUCACCAAACAGUAUCUUUCUUUUCAGUAUUCAUACCUCUUACUUAGAUAUCCACAGCUCUGGCUUUUUGUUCCAGUGUGGUUUUGAACAGUAGAGGUGAUAGCAUAUAUCUAUGUCUUUUCCUAGACUUUAAUGGAAAUAAAUGCUUGUAGCAUUUCA
rnacentral:lncRNA from 1 species